ensembl:lncRNA
CAAAUAUCUGUUGGUGCUCCAGACAUUUUCAUUCCGCAAACCAGCCUAUGAAAUGGAUGAAACAUCGUGACUGGGUUCCAGCGCUACACAAGGGACCUGCUGCAAACAUACCACCAUGCCAAUCAGAUUACUUCUUCCAUGUGAGGGUGAAGAGGUGACCCUCCUGGAUAAGAUGGUGAAGGUUUGCUGCGUUUUGGUGAACAGUGUGAUAAUAAAACCAGGGAAGAAUGAAACCUGCUCCUGUUAAAUAUUCUUAAGUCUUGUGCUGUUAAAAUUGCUGUAUUUUUUUCAAAAGAUACAGUAAAUAAAGUUAGUAGUGGGUGAUAUCAUGUAAACACUCAUGAUUUUGUGUAAACAUUUUGUCAUUUGUAAACUAU